rnacentral:rRNA from 1 species
GAGCUCGAUGAGUAGGGCGGGACACGUGGUAUCCUGUCUGAAUAUGGGGGGACCAUCCUCCAAGGCUAAAUACUCCUGACUGACCGAUAGUGAACCAGUACCGUGAGGGAAAGGCGAAAAGAACCCCGGCGAGGGGAGUGAAAAAGAACCUGAAACCGUGUACGUACAAGCAGUGGGAGCCUCUUUAUGGGGUGACUGCGUACCUUUUGUAUAAUGGGUCAGCGACUUAUAUUCUGUAGCAAGGUUAACCGAAUAGGGGAGCCGAAGGGAAACCGAGUCUUAACUGGGCGUUAAGUUGCAGGGUAUAGACCCGAAACCCGGUGAUCUAGCCAUGGGCAGGUUGAAGGUUGGGUAACACUAACUGGAGGACCGAACCGACUAAUGUUGAAAAAUUAGCGGAUGACUUGUGGCUGGGGGUGAAAGGCCAAUCAAACCGGGAGAUAGCUGGUUCUCCCCGAAAGCUAUUUAGGUAGCGCCUCGUGAAUUCAUCUCCGGGGGUAGAGCACUGUUUCGGCAAGGGGGUCAUCCCGACUUACCAACCCGAUGCAAACUGCGAAUACCGGAGAAUGUUAUCACGGGAGACACACGGCGGGUGCUAACGUCCGUCGUGAAGAGGGAAACAACCCAGACCGCCAGCUAAGGUCCCAAAGUCAUGGUUAAGUGGGAAACGAUGUGGGAAGGCCCAGACAGCCAGGAUGUUGGCUUAGAAGCAGCCAUCAUUUAAAGAAAGCGUAAUAGCUCACUGGUCGAGUCGGCCUGCGCGGAAGAUGUAACGGGGCUAAACCAUG